rnacentral:rRNA from 1 species
GACGAACGCUGGCGGCGUGCCUAAUACAUGCAAGUCGAACGCAGUGGGGACGGGUGCGUAACACCUGGGUAACCUCCCAUCAGAGGGGGUAAAACUUGGAAAAAGGCGCUAAAGCGAAACUGAUGGAUGGACUCGGGGUGCAUUUGCUAGUUGGUGGGGAAACGGCUCACCAAGGCCACGAUGCAUAGCCGCUCUGCAAGGGGAACCGGCCACACUGGAACUGAGACACGGCCCAGACUCCUACGCAAGGCAGCAGUGGGAAAUCUUCGACAAUGGACGAAAGUCUGACCGAGCAACGCCGCGUGAGUGAAGAAGGUUUUCGGAUCGUAAAACUCUGUUGUUGGAAAAGCGGUAUCUAACCAGAAAGCCACGGCUAACUACGUGCCAGCAGCCGCGGUAAUUC